UUGCAGCUGCCGGGAGUGAUUU
rnacentral:miRNA from 1 species